GGGUCAGGCUCUCUUUUGGUCUGUGCGUUGAAUAGCUGAGUGUAAUUUGUUAGUGAUUGUGGCUAAAACACAAACAUUUUUUAGUCACAUUCAUAGGAAUUUGAAACUAACCGCAGUCUUGGGGCACAACAGUGAGAAAACACUUUCCAGCUGCACUACUGUGCUUGGCGACCCAGUUGAGCCAUUGGAAACAGAAGUGCAACUUUAUCACUUGACUUCAAGAAGAGGUUUCC
rnacentral:lncRNA from 1 species